rnacentral:tRNA from 1 species
GUGGAUGUAGCUCAGUAGGUUAGAGCAUCAGAUUGUGGUUCUGAGGGUCGUCGGUUCGAGCCCGAUCUUCCACC